rnacentral:rRNA from 1 species
GUCGAACGGUAGAGGGGGCAACCCCUCGAGAGUGGCGAACGGGUGAGUAAUAUAUCGGAACGUGCCCAGUCGUGGGGGAUAACGUAGCGAAAGUUACGCUAAUACCGCAUACGAUCUAUGGAUGAAAGCGGGGGAUCGCAAGACCUCGCGCGAUUGGAGCGGCCGAUAUCAGAUUAGGUAGUUGGUGGGGUAAAGGCUCACCAAGCCAACGAUCUGUAGCUGGUCUGAGAGGACGACCAGCCACACUGGAACUGAGACACGGUCCAGACUCCUACGGGAGGCAGCAGUGGGGAAUUUUGGACAAUGGACGCAAGUCUGAUCCAGCCAUUCCGCGUGCAGGAUGAAGGCCCUCGGGUUGUAAACUGCUUUUGUACGGAACGAAAAGGUUUCUCUUAAUACGAGGAGCUCAUGACGGUACCGUAAGAAUAAGCACCGGCUAACUACGUGCCAGCAGCCGCGGUAAUACGUAGGGUGCAAGCGUUAAUCGGAAUUACUGGGCGUAAAGCGUGCGCAGGCGGUUAUGUAAGACAGAGGUGAAAUCCCCGGGCUCAACCUGGGAACUGCCUUUGUGACUGCAUAGCUAGAGUACGGUAGAGGGGGAUGGAAUUCCGCGUGUAGCAGUGAAAUGCGUAGAUAUGCGGAGGAACACCGAUGGCGAAGGCAAUCCCCUGGACCUGUACUGACGCUCAUGCACGAAAGCGUGGGGAGCAAACAGGAUUAGAUACCCUGGUAGUCCACGCCCUAAACGAU